AGGAGCAUGGUGUAAUGGUUAGCAUUACGGUCUCCAAAACCGUUGGUCUGGGUUCAAAUCCUAGUGCUUCUG
rnacentral:tRNA from 1 species